AUACGUGUUGUAGUAUUCCGGAAUUUUAAAUGUAGGUUGGUUUUAGAGGAUAAUAUCGUUAUGAACUUGUAUCCGGUGUUUACUUUUUCGGAAAAUCGAAAGAUUUGCCCCCACGCUUAUGUUCUUUCAGAAAAGAUAUCCAUUGAACAAAUCAUCUGAAAACUAAAUAAGGAGGAAGAAUACUUCUGUUAAAAAGUUGAAGUAACUGAUGAGCAGAUCAAUCCAACUUGAACAUGAUAUCAUUUCUCCAAUGAUGAAAACAAAUCUCUCUAUACUCAAGCAUUGAUAUUUUUAAAGUCAACUGAAACUGGAACAGGACAUACAUGCAGACUACAGUGAUAUGUUGCACAGUUCCGAAAACACGCAGCCACUAGCAUAAGCAUGAUAAGUGUUAGUGGGUCCUCAAAAAAUUAGAACCACUCAGGGACU